rnacentral:rRNA from 1 species
UACAGAGGGUGCAAGCGUUGUUCGGAAUUAUUGGGCGUAAAGGGCGCGUAGGCGGUGCGGUAAGUCUGUAGUGAAAUCUCUGGGCUCAACUCAGAGUCUGCUAUAGAAACUGCCGUGCUUGAGUGUGGGAGAGGUGAGUGGAAUUCCCGGUGUAGCGGUGAAAUGCGUAGAUAUCGGGAGGAACGCCUGUGGCGAAAGCGGCUCACUGGACCACAACUGACGCUGAGGCGCGAAAGCUAGGGGAGCAAACAGG